CACAUAACCCACCAUUUUUAUGACAUUAAGGGUCUCUUGCUGUCAGGCUCUCUUCUGUGCCUCUUCUCCUCUCUUUCUCCACUCUUCUCCUCUGUCCCCUUCUCAUCUAGAGCGUAACUCACAUGUUCGUACUCACACUCACAUGUAAAGUCAAAGUACUUCCCCGUAUCGGUACCAUCUUCAUGCAUCAUAGCCAAGUCCUCUACAGUCUAAGUUACAGAUAAUUGAAUUGGAUUUGUCGGAUGAGCUGAUACAGUAACGGCGUCCAUGGCUAUCGAUCCCUUGGCAAUGGCUAAGACCAGCUCCGAUAUUGCAGCCAAGAGGAUUUCAUAAGGGGGGAAGAAAAAACACUCCAGCCUUUUCCAGAAAUAUAAUGGUUCUUGUAUCGAAAAGGAUUAGGGUUCAGGCGACUGGCGUGGUGCUUCCCGUCUGGGCUUCUCUGUGCUGCGGUUCUCAGCUCUGGGGAGGGAGGUGUGUGGACCCACAGCGUCAAAGGCUACCCUGGACAGCCUCCAAGAGCCCUCAAUGCAUACGUAUGACUUCACAAAAAGGGGUUGCAACCCCCUAAGCCCUGCACUCAGCUGGCUGGAAUAUUGUAAUGAUUGUAAUGUAAUGUGUCAUAUCAGCAUUAAGAGACGAUGAGAGAGAGAGAGAAAGAGAGAGAGAGAGAGAGAGAGAGAGAGAGAGAGAUGUGAGAAGGGAAGUGGGGGAAAGCAAUGAGACCAGGCUGAACUGUUAAAUAGGACAAUAUCUGCACUUGGGAAGUAGCCAUCAGGAUGGAGUCUGGAUUGCAGCCCAAAAGGCUGGUAAGGACAGAGGUUGGUGCUAUAACCUCUGCUAUUACCCCAAUUCAUCUUUGUAAUAUUAAGUGCCAGGCCACGAGGGUGUGGAGUCUAUUUUUAAAAGUCUUUGAUAUUACUCAUCAGGGCGAUAUGAACCCUCAUCUUUCCAGUGUCAGAACACUGCCUCGAACAAAAAGUUCAUCAGAGGGGUCAUGCUGUUUCAGCCGAUGGCUGACAGUUUACCCAAUUCAUUGAUAAGCACCAA
ensembl:lncRNA